AUUGAACGCUGGCGGCAGGCCUAACACAUGCAAGUCGAGCGGAUGAAGGGAGCUUGCUCCUGGUUUCAGCGGCGGACGGGUGAGUAAUGCCUAGGAAUCUGCCUGGUAGUGGGGGAUAACGUCCGGAAACGGGCGCUAAUACCGCAUACGUCCUGAGGGUGAAAGAGGGGGAUCUUCGGACCUCACGCUAUCAGGUGAGCCUAGGUCGGAUUAGCUAGUUGGUGGGGUAAAGGCCUACCAAGGCGACGAUCCGUAACUGGUCUGAGAGGAUGAUCAGUCACACUGGAACUGAGACACGGUCCAGACUCCUACGGGAGGCAGCAGUGGGGAAUAUUGGACAAUGGGCGAAAGCCUGAUCCAGCCAUGCCGCGUGUGUGAAGAAGGUCUUCGGAUUGUAAAGCACUUUAAGUUGGGAGGAAGGGCAGUAAGUUAAUACCUUGCUGUUUUGACGUUACCAACAGAAUAAGCACCGGCUAACUUCGUG
rnacentral:rRNA from 1 species